CAUGUGUUAUCUAGCCCAAUGGCAAAGGUAUGAAAGGACCGUGGAGGGGAUUGCAGGUAUUCAUUUGGGAUUUGGGAGAAGGUGAAAGGGCAAGCGGAGAGGUCAUUUAAGUCCUUGACUCAGAGAUGCUGCUUUUGCCAUUGGAAGGAAAAGGCACUUAACCGCUCCAGCAUAAUUACAAACCCAGGGAAGCACAAGGGAAAUCCAUCUUCUUUAAUAGCACUUGCUCGUCACCGACCAGCCGGCCCUGCCAUUAGGUGACGUUUGCUCAGACACCUUUAGCCUCAGGUUUUUAAUUUUGUGUGAUGCAACCCCCCCCAAAAAAAAAACCCAGAAAGGAAGGUUUGGGGUUUACACAAAGCCAGAGAAUGACAUGAAAAGUUUUAACUUAAGCAGCAAAAUAGAAAGGCUAAUCUUAUUUAAAAGUAAUAUGUGUUUCUUGAUUGAGUGCCCAGAUACACUCAACUGGGACAUUUUAGUGGAAUCGGUUCUAAGCUGUUACACUGAGUUAUACAGAGUAAGGUUUCCUGAGCUCACGUUGCCAGACCUGAAAUACUCUUGUGGCUGCAUUUAAUAAAGAAACGAAAGUCUCGGGGCACAUAACAACUUCUGUGUCAGCAGAUCAGAACAGAACUGCUUCAGAGCCUUCUGGAUCAGCAUGGAUGCAUGCAGAAGCACUCAUCCACCUGCUUCUUCAGGCAGGAGAGGAAAAGAACUUCACGAAGGAGAUUAAAUUAUCUCACUAAACUGUCCCACUUUUGGCCCAAAGCACAACCUUUAGACAAGGGAGAGAUUUGCCAUUACAAAAUGCAGAAAACAUGCUGAGCUGGAGGACUGCAUUUUUGGGAGGGGAGUUCUCUGAACUGAUGUACUUUGGACGCCGUCAUGAGUUAAAGUGUUUAAUUUCUUCCAAAGACUAUAGAGCCUCAGCGCAGAAGUGACAUCAGAAUUGUGGCCUUUGCAGCCAGGACUGAACUGAAGAAACAGACUCUCUUUUGCCCACCUUUGAUCCAUCCUUAUCUUUUCAGCUGCACACUGCAAUAUUGUAUAUAGAUUUAUGGGAAUUCUUUCCAUGUUCACAACUUAUAAAGAAUUAAUAGUCGGUCCAAGUUGGAAAAUAAUACACCAUUCCUAACUCUAUUAAGGACAUAAAAAUCUGGCUUUGGUUAAAAUGAGAUUCCCUUUAGCAAUGGCCAAUAUACAGUAUGUAUUAUGAGUAUAUAAAAAACCAGACCUCUCCUUAUCUGACGUACAGCAACAUUAAGAUUACUGCCUGAGGCUCAGCAAACUUCAAACUUAGAAAGUAAGAUUGAGAGAGAGUGAAGGGGUGCAGGCAAUCAUUGGAAAGUAAUUACUGGUAACCCGAGCAGUCACUUUCAAGUAGAUUUCAUCUAAUAAGACCUAUACACAAAUGUAGUUUUAUGUUGAUAGACUGACGUAUGACAGGAACGCCAUCGGUACAGAUGCACAGCACAAAGCUUUACUGCCCUGUUAUUCUGCAAGCUGCCUAGAACGCCUUCCUCUUCUAAGCCUUCGCAUCAUUGGCAAUGGCAUUUUCAGUAAACAAGCACGGAAGAUUCUAACCAGGGCUGAAAUCCUGCACCCAAUUGGGCUGUUGAAAUCCUACUGAAGUUCUUGGGACUUAAGCAAUCUAAGGCUGCCAUGGAG